rnacentral:lncRNA from 1 species
UAAGGAGGGCUUGCUCCCAGUGGUGCAUCCCUCCUGGGCUGGGCUCGGGGGCAAGGCCAGCUUCAUGGGUGUGCGACCCAUGCGGGCACCAGGGCUCCACACUUGGGAGGGCCCCAAGCUUAGUUCGAUGCUCUACUGUCAUUGUCUUGAAUUUUUCAUAAUUAAUAACUUUUGAACAAGGGGCCCCGCCAAUUCCGUGGCCAGUCCUGCAUGGGUGCCAGGCCUGCCUUGGCAGCCAGUCGGGAACCCGGGGAAGCCAGCGUGGGUUUUGGCCGCGGCUGACGGUGGCUGGCCGUGUCCUGACUGUGCCCGCUGGGCACUGUGGAAAAUGCCCGGCUGAGUCAACAAAGGGCCUGCUUUGACAGCGGGCCAUGGGGACAAGGCAGAUCCCGGCCUCCUCGGGUCCCGCCGGGCCCCCCUCACCUCCUGCCACCCCCAGGCCAGCAGAGGACAGAGCUGCCUUUUCAGAAGCCACGCUGGGCAGCCGUCCUGUCUUUGGUUUAAUCGGCCUGUCAGCAUUCCCAGGUUACUUGGAAUUGCGUCUGAAGCAACAUGAGCAUCUUCUCCCCUGUGGCUCCUUUAACUCCAGCGAGGACGCCGAAGAGGCGGGGGUGCCAGACACGGCUGACGUCACGGGCAGCCCGAAAUGACAAAGCGGACGGGCCAAUCCCAAGUUCGGAUUCUGCGAGAAGCCAUCCGAUUGGACACGAGUGCGGGCGCCCUUGCCCAAUGGUGGAAGAGGGGCAGGAGCCCGGCGGCCGCGUGGGUUUUAAAUCCAUGUGGCGGCGAGAGGGCGGCGGUGGCUGCGCCUCGUGGGCUUGAGUUCGCUCCUUGGCUGGGGAGGCGUGCGUGGGGGCCGUCGUCCGCGCCGCUUACGGUCCUGGGCCGGUGGCUCCGCCUCGCCGCGCCUAUUUGCGUCAGCAGGGCCUGGUGGGAUCAGGGAGAACCCACGAAAGACACGCUGUGAAUGCCACGUUUCUGUCAUCU